CAGGGGUGAGGCAGAGCAGGGGAGGGGUGGUCAGCAGGAGAGAAGUAGGCUCUGGGCUCAGAGGGGGACCCUGAUAAGGUGCUCAAUUCUAAGAGACUCUUGUCUUG
rnacentral:miRNA from 1 species